rnacentral:lncRNA from 1 species
GGACAUCCUGGCUUUGCCAUUGUAUUUCGGGGUAGCUCCAGGAAUGUGUCCACAUUCCUCAACGGAGCGGGAAUUUCCAGACCUUGGGCUCCUACUAGAUGCUGCGUCUCUGGCCACAAAGGAGAAGUCUGGAGGCACGUUCUCUCGUCUCCCCCUGCGGUACCUCUUCCCACUCCAGGAGCGCCUUUCCCGUUUGGCUGUCUCCAUGGUGAAGGCGGUCUUGUCACAUUUCACAGCGUGUUCGAUCUCUGCCCCUCAUGUCAGUACUCCUUUGGGGGUGCACCAGGAAGGAAAGGCAGCGCAUUACAUGGUUCUGCACCUGCUACAGCGUGGGAGAGCUCUGGAAAGGUUUGCUGAGCGGAUGCAACAACCACAGGAUGGGUAUGACCUUGGGCACCCAGCCCUCUGCGGCUGA